GGAGCUUGCUCCCUGAUGUUAGCGGCGGACGGGUGAGUAACACGUGGGUAACCUGCCUGUAAGACUGGGAUAACUCCGGGAAACCGGGGCUAAUACCGGAUGCUUGAUUGAACCGCAUGGUUCAAUUAUAAAAGGUGGCUUUUAGCUACCACUUACAGAUGGACCCGCGGCGCAUUAGCUAGUUGGUGAGGUAACGGCUCACCAAGGCAACGAUGCGUAGCCGACCUGAGAGGGUGAUCGGCCACACUGGGACUGAGACACGGCCCAGACUCCUACGGGAGGCAGCAGUAGGGAAUCUUCCGCAAUGGACGAAAGUCUGACGGAGCAACGCCGCGUGAGUGAUGAAGGUUUUCGGAUCGUAAAACUCUGUUGUUAGGGAAGAACAAGUACCGUUCGAAUAGGGCGGUACCUUGACGGUACCUAACCAGAAAGCCACGGCUAACUACGUGCCAGCAGCCGCGGUAAUACGUAGGUGGCAAGCGUUGUCCGGAAUUAUUGGGCGUAAAGCGCGCGCAGGCGGUUUCUUAAGUCUGAUGUGAAAGCCCCC
rnacentral:rRNA from 1 species